ACCAGGCGUGGUGGCACAUGCCUGUAAUCCCAGCAGCUCGGGAGGCUGAGGCAGGAGGAUUUCAAGUUCAAAGCCAGCCUCAGCAAAGGCAUGGCACUAAACAACUCAGUGAGACCCUGUCUCUA
rnacentral:sRNA from 1 species